UGAAAUAAUAUGAAACAAACAAUUAUUAUCUAAAAAUUCAAGUUGUUAUAGAACCGUGUUUUAAUCAUUUCGAUUAACACUCUCUAUUAUUACAUCUGGGCUUGAAACUUCUAACAGAUCCAUGCAUUAGAAUUAAAUGUGAAAAAAAAAAAAAAACUAACUAGGGGGUUGAUAUGAUUCAAACUCAUAAUCAUCUGCUCUGAUACUAUAUAUGUAAAAUAAUUAUUAUUCUUUAAAUAAUUAAGUUGUGAGAACUUAAUAUUUUGUAAUUAUUUUACAGUAUUUUA
rnacentral:lncRNA from 1 species